UGAACUGUAUUUUCAGCUCACCUAUACAAAACCAAGAAAAGUUAUAUUAUUCAUUAUAACAGUCAAUUUUCAAUUCCAUCAUUUUUCAUCCCCUACUAGUAUUUUGUAGAUGGUUAGCUAAUUUUUUUGACACAAUGUUUUAUCGCUAUCUUAAUCUCAAACAUUUAUAUGCCUUGUAUGAAAUAAACUUUCAUUGGAUGUAUUUGAUAGUGAUAAAUACCAAUCAUGUUUUAGACCUGACAGAUGCGUUAUUUUGGAUUAAGUAUACUUUUAAGAAGUAUUGGGCCCUUAAUGAUAAUGUGCAUUGAUGAUGCUUAUAAGCCUAAAUUUACCAGUCUUACUGUAAAUGCUAAUUGUAAAAUUAUCUGCAUGAAGGACUAAAUGAAAAAUUUAAUUUUUUACUUCUUUUUGUGAUUCAUUAGGUGUCCUUUGUUAGGUAUGAGUGAAUUUACAAAGUUGCCUGUUUAACUUUGAUGUAUUAGUACUAGUACUUCUAGUAUUAGGAACGACGAUUAUGUAACUAUAUACCAGGUAGAUUGAACUUAUAUAGCAUGCUUCUUGAUCAUUGAUGUUGUUCUUGUUUGUAAACCAUUUUGAUUUAUUUUUCAGACCUAUGCAACUUUAAUAGCUUAUGAAAUGGGCUAAAGAUAUUCAUUGCAGUAUUAUAUAAUAUCUAAUUAAAUAACAUUUUUGUGUAGCACAAAAAAGGCCUUUUUUGAGAAAUCGAUUUUUAAUUUUUACCUAUUUAAUUUUGUGCUUUAUAUUUAAUAAAGGAAUUGAA
rnacentral:sRNA from 1 species